rnacentral:tRNA from 1 species
GGUUAACCGGGGUGACAACGGCGGACUUUUAAUCCGUAGGUUCCGGGUUCGAGCCCCGG